UGCGUAGGCGGGUCAGUAAGUCAGAGGUGAAAGCCCACAGCUUAACUGUGGAAUUGCCUUUGAAACUGCUGAUCUUGAGUUCGGUUGAUGUGGGCGGAAUGUAGCAUGUAGCGGUGAAAUGCUUAGAUAUGCUACAGAACACCAAUUGCGAAGGCAGCUCACAAAGCCGUUACUGACGCCGAGGCACGAAAGCGUGGGGAGCGAACAGGAUUAGAUACCCUGGUAGUCC
rnacentral:rRNA from 1 species